ACUUUGAAAUUCAAAAUAUACAAAACAUAAAUCAAAAGAUUAAGAAUAUUUGAAAAAUACAUCCUAUAAAUAAGGAAGACUAAUAAGAUGAAGUUUUAAACACAACUGAACUCCUUAAAGCAUGUUGGCAGUAACUACCUUUUGACUUCGUCUAUCAGUUGAAACUCUCUCUCUCUCUUAUCUCUACUUCUCGUUCCAACUUUCUCCCUCUCUGGUGAUAACUGAGGACCACCACCAUCACCACUGCGCCGUGACAACCUUGACGAGCUACACUCCCAACUAUCUUAUCUCCAUUUUUUCACACUCCCAACUGUUCGAUCUACAGUAUCAUAGAAAUGAAGAGGGAAGACUUUUCCAGAUUUUCGGCGACUAGACCCGCGAGUUGUAGGUGUUUUUCAUCCACGACUAGUCCUCAUGUUGGUGCGAUUACCAUCAGAGACUCCGAUUUUUCUAGUUCGAAUGGCUGCGACCUCGCAAGUAUAUGUUUUAGUAGUAGUUUCGUGUCAACGAGGAUUUCUGGCAAACAUUGUUAUUGAAUACUACUUCCAAUGAUUGGAGUUGGAUGUGGUGUUUGGUGAGGCGUUACUUGGCUAUGGAAGAAGAUUGGGACGGAUCGAGAAGAUCUAUGGCGGCAGUGAAAGUAGUAGAAGUUUUUGGAUUCUAUGUCUGUGUUCUAGUUUAUGGGCCUAACUAUUUCUUGGCUCUUUUAAUGUUUGUUUAGUUUUGGCCCAUUUUUUGUUGUUUAUAUGUUAGUUUUGGG